rnacentral:rRNA from 1 species
GAAGAACAUAUGUGUAAGUAACUGUGCACAUCUUGACGGUACCUAAUCAGAAAGCCACGGCUAACUACGUGCCAGCAGCCGCGGUAAUACGUAGGUGGCAAGCGUUAUCCGGAAUUAUUGGGCGUAAAGCGCGCGUAGGCGGUUUUUUAAGUCUGAUGUGAAAGCCCACGGCUCAACCGUGGAGGGUCAUUGGAAACUGGAAAACUUGAGUGCAGAAGAGGAAAGUGGAAUUCCAUGUGUAGCGGUGAAAUGCGCAGAGAUAUGGAGGAACACCAGUGGCGAAGGCGACUUUCUGGUCUGUAACUGACGCUGAUGUGCGAAAGCGUGGGGAUCAAACAGGAUUAGAUACCCUGGUAGUCCACGC